rnacentral:lncRNA from 1 species
UAAAUCAGAGAAACUAGAGGUUUCAUUUUGUAAAUAGCGUAAAAUAAAGUAAACCGGUAUGCAUGAGAAAAACAUAAAAUAACAAAUCUUUGAAGAAAAAGCUAAUCCCUUUAAUCCUCACAUCCAACUCAUUUUGGCUGCUAAUAGUUUUACUUUUAAUUCUUUCCAUUACCACAUAACUUGCUGUUUGGCACCUGUACAAUUUUAAAAUAUAUUUAAGAUUUCUGAAAGUUCCUAAAAAAAAAAAAACAAAAAAACAAUAAUGACAUAUAUACAUAAGUACAAAAUACAUUAUUUUUGAGUUCUUGUCCCAAAAAAAAUUCUCAAAAAUCAAAUUGACCAAAAUAUUUUAUUAAAAAAAACAAAGAUCC